rnacentral:rRNA from 1 species
UACAGAGGUCUCAAGCGUUGUUCGGAUUCAUUGGGCGUAAAGGGUGCGUAGGCGGCGCGGUAAGUCGGGUGUGAAAUCUCGGAGCUUAACCUCCGAAACUGCAUUCGAUCUGCCGUGCUUGAGGACUGGAGAGGAGACUGGAAUUUACGGUGUAGCGGUGAAAUGCGUAGAUAUCGUAAGGAAGACCAGUGGCGAAGGCGGGUCUCUG